GCCCUGUAAAGUGCACGGUACCACCUGCCUGUAGUCCCGGCUACUCAGGAGGCUGAAGCAGGAGGAUGAUUUGAGCCCAGGAAUUCUGGACCAUAGUGUGCUAUGCAGAUCAGGUGUCCUCACAAAGUUCAGCAUUAAUAUGGUGAAUUCCUGGGAGUGUGGGGCUACCAGGUUGCCUAAGAAGGGGUGAACCAGCCAAGGACGAAAACAGAGCAGGUCGGAACUUCCAUGCUGAUCAGUAGUGGGAACAUGCCUGUGAAUAACCACUGUACUCCAGCCGGGGAAGCAGAGAGACUCUGUCUCU
ensembl:misc_RNA Metazoa_SRP Metazoan signal recognition particle RNA